rnacentral:lncRNA from 13 species
AAUUAUAAUAAGUAUCUUAUACGGUAAUGAUGACACCUACAUAGUUACAUCUGGGAGUCUGAAGGACAUUUAUCUUUGUCAGGUUGUUUGUAUUGUGGUUGUGGUUUACAUUAAACUCAGGCUGAUAGUGACUAUUUCACACCUUCAAGAGGGUCUCAAACUUUAGUCUGGGUUCUGAGGGGAAAAUAUCAGAAAAAGAUACCUGUUAGAUGGAAACAGCUAGUCAACCCCUGCACCAUGUGGUCAGUCAGUUGUCAUGGUCACAGUCUCUCAGGUUGUGUGACUGGUAAUGAUCUCACUGGAUGAGUUCCAGAUAUGUUUAUGCUGCCAACUCCGACGUGCUACUGAAACAUCCUGGAACUCAUCCAGUGAGGUUAUUACCAGUCACACAACCUGAGAGACUGUGACCAUGACAACUGACUGACCACACAAGGUCUGCAUGACUUUGUUCACAUAUUAUCUUGGUGCUUCAGUGUGGGAAUAUAGUUUGUGGUCAUGUCUGUUGUAAAGUCAUUUCUCUCACCAGGUUUAAGUAGAUCUUAUCAGACAGUCUGCAAAACACAAGUCCUGAAGCUGAUCAAUACAAAACAACCUCUGUCGUGCUCCAGUCUGGUGCUGUUGAAGGCAUGGAGAGAGACAACAUCCUAACCUUUUCUGUGCUGUGUCUCUACCAUGCUUGGACUCUGGGUGUGGACUCCACGAUGGUAAGAGGAUCUCUCAAUCUGGAACAUGGAACUAGAAGAUUACUUCUGGAAGUGUUUUAGCACAUAGGCCUUUUCAGCAUUGCCCACAAUCCAGUGUCAACUUCUGUUUGUUCUGUAGAACUAUAGAAACCUCCUUCCAGUUCCACUCCCUGCAUUUCCUGCUGACUGAUGCUCUCCGCCUCCUGAAAGAAAACCAACAGGGCUGUCACACCACAUACCGGAGAACCAACAUGGAGUUUGGCGGUAAAGUUAACCAACUAAUAAGAUUCGGCUUCUCUUUGCCUCGAGCUCUCUUGACAAGAGAAUUAGUCAAUCAUUUG